rnacentral:rRNA from 1 species
UGUAGUAUUGUUCAUUCAUUCGGAUAUUGGGCGUAAGAGCUCGUAGGCGGUUUGUCGCGUCUGCCGUGAAAGUCCGGGGCUCAACCCCGGAUCUGCGGUGGGUACGGGCAGACUAGAGUGAUGUAGGGGAGACUGGAAUUCCUGGUGUAGCGGUGAAAUGCGCAGAUAUCAGGAGGAACACCGAUGGCGAAGGCAGGUCUCUGGGCAUUAACUGACGCUGAGGAGCGAAAGCAUGGGGAGCGAACAGGAUUAGAUACCCUGGUAGUCCAUGCCGUAAACGUUGGGCACUAGGUGUGGGGGACAUUCCACGUUUUCCGCGCCGUAGCUAACGCAUUAAGUGCCCCGCCUGGGGAGUACGGCCGCAAGGCUAAAACUCAAAGGAAUUGACGGGGGCCCGCACAAGCGGCGGAGCAUGCGGAUUAAUUCGAUGCAACGCGAAGAACCUUACCAAGGCUUGACAUGAACUGGAAACACCUGGAAACAGGUGCCCCGCUUGCGGCCGGUUUACAGGUGGUGCAUGGUUGUCGUCAGCUCGUGUCGUGAGAUGUUGGGUUAAGUCCCGCAACGAGCGCAACCCUCGUUCUAUGUUGCCAGCACGUAAUGGUGGGGACUCAUAGGAGACUGCCGGGGUCAACUCGGAGGAAGGUGAGGACGACGUCAAAUCAUCAUGCCCCUUAUGUCUUGGGCUUCACGCAUGCUACAAUGGCCGGUACAAUGGUUGCGAUACUGUGAGGUGGAGCUAAUCCCAAAAAGCCGGUCUCAGUUCGGAUUGGGGUCUGCAACUCGACCCCAUGAAGUCGGAGUCGCUAGUAAUCGCAGAUCAGCAACGCUGCGGUGAAUACGUUCCGGGCCUUGUACACACCGCCCGUCAAGUCACGAAGUUGGUAACACCCGAAGCCCAUGUCCCAACCCGCAAGGGAGGGAGUCGUCGAAAGUGGGACUGGCGAUUGGGGACUAAGUCGUAACAAAGUAGCCCACCC